rnacentral:rRNA from 1 species
GAUGAACGCUGGCGGCGUGCCUAAUACAUGCAAGUCGAGCGAACGGACGAGAAGCUUGCUUCUCUGAUGUUAGCGGCGGACGGGUGAGUAACACGUGGAUAACCUACCUAUAAGACUGGGAUAACUUCGGGAAACCGGAUCUAAUACCGGAUGAUAUUUUGAACCGCAUGGUUCAAAAGUGAAAGGCGGUCUUGCUGUCACUUAUAGAUGGAUCCGCGCUGCAUUAGCUAGUUGGUAAGGUAACGGCUUACCAAGGCAACGAUGCAUAGCCGACCUGAGAGGGUGAUCGGCCACACUGGAACUGAGACACGGUCCAGACUCCUACGGGAGGCAGCAGUAGGGAAUCUUCCGCAAUGGGCGAAAGCCUGACGGAGCAACGCCGCGUGAGUGAUGAAGGUCUUCGGAUCGUAAAACUCUGUUAUUAGGGAAGAACAUAUGUGUAAGUAACUGUGCACAUCUUGACGGUACCUAAUCAGAAAGCCACGGCUAACUACGUG